rnacentral:tRNA from 1 species
GGCAUAAAUUAAGUCUAUGUUACGGCCGUAGAAUGGGUGUUAUUUACAUCAUAUGCUU